rnacentral:rRNA from 2 species
UACGUAGGGAGCAAGCGUUGUCCGGAAUCAUUGGGCGUAAAGCGCGCGUAGGUGGCUUCGUAAGUCCGUUGUGAAAGUCAAAGGCUCAACCUUUGAAUGCCGAUGGAUACUGCGGAGCUAGAGUACGGAAGAGGCGAGUGGAAUUCCUGGUGUAGCGGUGGAAUGCGCAGAUAUCAGGAGGAACACCAAUAGCGAAGGCAGCUCGCUGGGACGUUACUGACACUAAGGCGCGAAAGCGUGGGGAGCGAACAGG